rnacentral:tRNA from 1 species
GGUGUAUGCGCUCAGCGGGAAAGCAACAACUUGGCCUGAAGAAGGUCCCGGGUUCAAUUCCCGGCAUCUCCU